rnacentral:tRNA from 1 species
GCCGGAAUAGUUCAGUUGGGAGAGCGUUAAACUGAAGUUGUUUACGCAACAGUCAUCUAAAGGCCGCCCGGUUUAAUCCCGGGUUCCGGCA